rnacentral:piRNA from 1 species
UGAGUAGUAGAAACUCAUGGAAGAGCAGUG